UUCAACCUAUCGAAUACCAGUGUCCAAAGA
rnacentral:piRNA from 1 species